GUCCGCUGUCAAUACGAACCCGCACGAGUGGGAGAAAUUUUGCUAAAUUUGACCAACGUGCAGUCCCCCAAGUCAACAUAAAAUUUCAACAAGGGGGGCUCAGCCCCCCUGAGCCCUCCCACCAGUACACCACUUGGCCUAUCUUCUAAGCAAGGAUUUUUUUUUGCACUAUGCCUGGAAAGAUUUUUUUUUCUUAAUAUUUU